CGGCGAACGGGUGAGUAAUACAUCGGAACGUGCCCAGUAGCGGGGGAUAACCAGUCGAAAGAUUGGCUAAUACCGCAUACGAUCUACGGAUGAAAGCGGGGGACCGCAAGGCCUCGCACUAUUGGAGCGGCCGAUGUCGGAUUAGCUAGUUGGCGGGGUAAGAGCCCACCAAGGCGACGAUCCGUAGCUGGUCUGAGAGGAAGAUCAGCCACACUGGAACUGAGACACGGUCCAG
rnacentral:rRNA from 1 species